rnacentral:rRNA from 1 species
UACGUAGGGAGCGAGCGUUGUCCGAAGUUACUGGGCGUAAAGCGCGCGUAGGCGGGCUGUUAAGUGAGAGGUGAAAGGCUGGGGCUCAACCCCAUGCAGUGCCUCUCAUACUGGCGGUCUUGAAUUCGGCAGGGAGAAGUGGAAUGGCUGGUGUAGCGGUGAAAUGCGUAGAUAUCAGUCGGAACACCGGUGGCGAAGGCGGGUCUCUGGGCCGGUACUGACGCUGAGACGCGAAAGCGUGGGGAGCGAACAGG